rnacentral:rRNA from 1 species
UACGUAGGGUGCGAGCGUUGUCCGGAUUUAUUGGGCGUAAAGAGCUCGUAGGCGGUUUGUCGCGUCGGCCGUGAAAUCUCCACGCUUAACGUGGAGCGUGCGGUCGAUACGGGCAGACGUUGAGUUCGGUAGGGGAGACUGGAAUUCCUGGAUGUAGCGGUGAAAUGCGCAGACGUAUCAGGAGGAACACCGGUGGCGAAGGCGGGUCUCUGGGCCGAUACUGACGCUGGAGGAAGCGAAAGCGUGGGGAGCAAACAGG